rnacentral:misc_RNA from 1 species
AUGUAGAGUACGCAAUAUUUGCGAGAUGUCGACAGUGAUGUGGGACCUGCAGGUGUUCGACGCGGAGGUGCUGGUGGCGCUGGAGGCGCGCGAGGCGCGGCUGGCGCUGGAGCGCGGCGAGGCGGAGCGCGCGUGGGCGGCGCGCUGCGGGCGCGACGCGGCGCCGCCCGACGUGCUCGCCGAGCGCGACGACUGGGGCGCCGCUACACCGUCAGGUGUGUGGUGUGAGUGGGGCGGUAGUGCCUUGCCCCGGGUGUCGCUGCCGACGCUGGAGGUGGUGGCGUUCAGCCCGAGAGCCCCGCUACACCCGCCCGUGCCGCACCCCGCCGCUGUAGCUCUCGUGCUGCACAACCGCGAGUCUGACAACCCAGUGCCGCUGGACUCGGAGCUGUGCGCCGAGAUACUGCGCAGUCUAGAGGACGCGCCCGACUGCGACGAUAAACAUGACUCGGUGGAGCGUUACCGCGGCGGCGGCAGCUCGGGCUCCAGCUCCGGCAGCGAGGGCUCGCCCGACGACGACGCGCACGACCUCGCGCCGCCGCCAGCGUUACCCACGCCUGACGACUCGCUCUGCAGGUAUGUAUCAUGUGUAUGUUACACUCAGACGACGACGCGCACGACCUCGCGCCGCCGCCAGCGUUACCCACGCCUGACGACUCGCUCUGCAGGUAUGUAUCAUGUGUAUGUUACACUCAGACGACGACGCGCACGACCUCGCGCCGCCGCCAGCGUUACCCACGCCUGACGACUCGCUCUGCAGGUAUGUAUCAUGUGUAUGUUACACUCAGACGACGACGCGCACGACCUCGCGCCGCCGCCAGCGUUACCCACGCCUGACGACUCGCUCUGCAGGUAUGUAUCAUGUGUAUGUUACACUCAGACGACGACGCGCACGACCUCGCGCCGCCGCCAGCGUUACCCACGCCUGACGACUCGCUCUGCAGGUAUGUAUCAUGUGUAUGUUACACUCAGACGACGACGCGCACGACCUCGCGCCGCCGCCAGCGUUACCCACGCCUGACGACUCGCUCUGCAGGUAUGUAUCAUGUGUAUGUUACACUCAGACGACGACGCGCACGACCUCGCGCCGCCGCCAGCGUUACCCACGCCUGACGACUCGCUCUGCAGGUAUGUAUCAUGUGUAUGUUACACUCAGACGACGACGCGCACGACCUCGCGCCGCCGCCAGCGUUACCCACGCCUGACGACUCGCUCUGCAGGUAUGUAUCAUGUGUAUGUUACACUCAGACGACGACGCGCACGACCUCGCGCCGCCGCCAGCGUUACCCACGCCUGACGACUCGCUCUGCAGGUAUGUAUCAUGUGUAUGUUACACUCAGACGACGACGCGCACGACCUCGCGCCGCCGCCAGCGUUACCCACGCCUGACGACUCGCUCUGCAGGUAUGUAUCAUGUGUAUGUUACACUCAGACGACGACGCGCACGACCUCGCGCCGCCGCCAGCGUUACCCACGCCUGACGACUCGCUCUGCAGGUAUGUAUCAUGUGUAUGUUACACUCAGACGACGACGCGCACGACCUCGCGCCGCCGCCAGCGUUACCCACGCCUGACGACUCGCUCUGCAGGUAUGUAUCAUGUGUAUGUUACACUCAGACGACGACGCGCACGACCUCGCGCCGCCGCCAGCGUUACCCACGCCUGACGACUCGCUCUGCAGGUAUGUAUCAUGUGUAUGUUACACUCAGACGACGACGCGCACGACCUCGCGCCGCCGCCAGCGUUACCCACGCCUGACGACUCGCUCUGCAGGUAUGUAUCAUGUGUAUGUUACACUCAGACGACGACGCGCACGACCUCGCGCCGCCGCCAGCGUUACCCACGCCUGACGACUCGCUCUGCAGGGUGGGCAGCGGCGCGAUGUGUCGCUGGACGCUGACGGGGCGCGGCGUGCGGCUGCGCGCGGACCUGGCGUCGCCCGAGGACGUCACGCUCGACACCGAGCGGCACCACGGCACCUCCGUCUGAACACAGCC